GUCACUCAGUGGCCCAGCUGGAGACUCCUGUCGCUUCCGCUUUGACUGGGACAGCUGUGAGAGAGCUCCUCGGGGCCUGGGAACCGCUCGCUGCUCCAGAAAAACAGAAGUGCAGCGGGUCUGUGUGGAGGCAUGUCUGCAGAUGGGCUUUGGGGUCCUGUAAGAAAAGUCAUGUUGUUACACACAAGAUGGGCUUGAAGGAAAUCUGCAGAGUCGGCAGGAGCCAUGUUCUUUCCGCCAUACCGCACUGCUGAGACCGCAAGCUCAUUCUCCAAGAAAGAAGGCUGAUGGUGAUUCCAGACACUUCCUCCUUCCUGGGGAAGAUGUGGAACUGUGAUUUGCGGGGGCAAAUGCCCCAUGCUUGUCAGAAAUCUCAGAGGAGAAUUUUGAACACUGUGGCUUUCAAGCCUGCUUAGGGUGGCAGGAGUCAUAUGGAAGAGAGGUAUUUGUGGCCUUAUGGAUUUCUACCCCUGCCCCCCUGCCCCCCAGUAUAUGUAGGGUCUCUGCACAGACCAGCGAGGAUGAUGUGGUACAGACCUUGUUUUAAAUUCAUUCUCCUACCCUGCUGUCAGUAUACAGAAGGCAGAAUGGCAGAAAGCAUUUGUCACUGGUUGAUACUCUAAAUCUCUGUUGUGCAGGGGCGCCUGGGGGGCUCACUCGUUAAGCGUCUGCCUUCGGCUCAGGUCAUGAUCCCAGGGUCCUGGGAUCGAGCCCCACAUCGGGCUCCCUGCUCAGUGGGAAGCCUGCUUCUCCCUCUGCCACUCCCCCUGCUUGUGUUCCCUCUCUCGCUCUGUCUCUCUCUGUCAAAUAAAUAAAUAAAAUCUCUA